ACGGAGGAUGCAAGCGUUAUCCGGAUUAAUUAGGUUUAAAGGGUGCGUAGACGGAGACUUAAGUCAGAGGUAAAAGGCAAUAGCUUAACUAAUGUAAGCCAUUGAUACUGGGUUUCUUGAGUUCGGUAGAGGUAGGCGGAAUGUGUUGUGUAGCGGUGAAAUGCAUAGAUAUAACGCAGAACACCGAUUGCGAAGGCAACUUACUAUUCUGUUACUGACGUUGAUGCACGAAAGCGUGGGGAUCAAACAG
rnacentral:rRNA from 1 species